ensembl:misc_RNA Y_RNA Y RNA
GGCUGGACUGAUGGUAGUAAGUUAUCAGAACUUAUUAACAUUAGUGUCACCAGAGUUGGUAUAUAACCCCCCACUGCUAAAUUUGACUGGCUUAAA